UGGAUGCUGGAUCACUACUGAUUGCACAUUGGAACGUGAGGUUCCACAUCCAUAUGAAAUUAUAAGAAUUUUAUCUGUAUCUGCAUUGUUCAUCUCUAAUUGACCCUUGAGGUUCCUGUUUUGUAUGAUUUUAUACGAAGUCGGCAAUUUCAACUGUCAUUUGAAUGUUCUCUCAUUGGAGAUGUGUGAAAUUUGAAUCAUUAGAUCCCUGGAGGUCGAAUUGAUAUUCCAUCCUUUUGACACUUUGAACGUACAGUUUGAAUUAAAUUGCUUAAAAGGCUUAGGUCCAUUCAUCUUUUUUGCAAUCUAAGACGCACCCCUGAUGAAGUCUAUUUAAUAGACAAAACGUGUUGGGUUAUCGUUACAUUCUUGAUGUUGUCUCCGAAUAUCUAAUGAGGAGGAAUAAGGAUACAGCAGAGAGUUGCCUAUAUCCUUCUACAUCAUAAUACUGGAUCACCAUAGGAGAUAAUACAUCAUAAUGUUCAUGUAAUAAUGAUGGACACUUUAUAUGUUGUUGUAUUAUUUUAAUAAAUGUUUUAUGAAAUUACA